rnacentral:tRNA from 1 species
GUCCCUGUAGCACAAUGGGUAGUGCGUUGGACUUAUGAUCCAAAGGUCGUGGGCUCGAAUCCCGCCUGGGAUG